rnacentral:rRNA from 1 species
AUACGGAAGGUCCCGGCGUUAUCCGGAUUUAUUGGGUUUAAAGGGAGCGUAGGCCGUGGGUUAAGUGUGUUGUGAAAUUCAGUUGCUCAACAUCUGAUUUGCAGCGCAUACUGGUCCACUUGAGUGCGCGCAACGCAGGCGGAAUUCGUCGUGUAGCGGUGAAAUGCUUAGAUAUGACGAGGAACCCCGAUUGCGAAGGCAGCUUGCGGGAGCGCAACUGACGCUGAAGCUCGAAGGUGCGGGUAUCAAACAGGAUUAGAUACCCUGGUAGUCCGCACGGUAAACGAUGGAUGCCCGCUGUCCGGCCAAUAGGUCGGGCGGCCACGCGAAAGCCUUGAGCAUCCCACCUGGGGAGUACGCCGGCAACGGUGAA